rnacentral:tRNA from 1 species
UGGGGUGUAGCUCAGUUGGUAGAGUGCUUGCCUAGCAUAGAGGAAGCAAGGAGUUUGAUUGUCAACACUCCAU